CUUGACUUUCUACACGCCGAUUAGCCUCCGUCAAAGAACAAAUUUUCUCGAUUCACCUUCUCCCACAAACCAUAAUAUCUUGCACAGUUUCUUAAUGUAAAUGCACAAUCGAAAUCAAUUCUGAAAACUGAAGAGGAUAUUAUGACUUCUCAAUUACUCCACCGCUUCCUGAUCAUUAUAUAAACUGUCUAGGAUCGUGAUUUACGAUUCACCUCCUUAUCACAAGAAAGCCCAACCGAUCGAUGGUUUUGCCUCUCAGAAGAACAUCCAGUAGCUGUGCACGGAAGCUCUGAUCUCUGCUCCAGUUCAUUUUUAUGACAUUGAGAUUAUGGUGCCAACACGUAACUCCACAGCUUACGAUGAUUACCUUCAGGUCAGUCUCUAUCUUUCUAAAUGUUUUUUUCCAUUCAGCAGGAUGUGUGACAGGCUUUCAACAGCAACCUCUCAUCCUCUUUCUGAAUUUAUCUUCUUUCUUAACAACCAUUGUUAACAAUUGAGUGACAUGGACAAGGUAAAGAUCAUGCAUGAGCUCUCAUCCGCAUCUUUCUCAGUCUCUCGCUCUAUUUUUUUCUGUUUAGUUUAUAGGUAAAUUUUUAAGCUUUCUUGAUUGGAUCAGUGGCUGAGAAGAUAGAGAGCUUUGCAUCAACAGCUUGGAAACCACAAAGAGGCGUACCUAUAAAAUAUGUGUCUCCUUAGCUCUUUGAACAUUUCCUGAAUCCGUAAGUGUUGAUUAAGAGACAUCCUUCUUGCUUCUUUUUGUUUAAUUAAUAACCAUUUCUAGCGUUUUGAAGAUAUUUCAGAAGGAAUCAGACAAAAUCAUGCUUGCGAGUGGUGGUUCUUUGCUCUGUCUUUUUUUUUGUGUGUACAAAAUAUUUUUAAUGGUAGUUCUUUUUCAUACAGGAAAAUUGAAAGACUCAAAGAAGAGAGGAAAUAAUCUUUUUUGCUUCUGUGCAAGUGAUUAGAAGGUUGCAUAUAAACAGUGAUUGUUAUUUGCUGCUUCAGUGAGUUUUGAGUACUCCUUAUGGAAGAAAUUGAUAGUCUCUGUCACUUUAGCCUUCACUGAACAUUGAUAAUCCAGUUAUAAUAUUUAGCAAUCGUCAAAAGCAGAAAUGAACAUUUGUUCGAAGUGAUCAGCUCGAGAGAUGAUGUGCUUAGGACGUUGAUGAGAAGGCGUACGUAUCUCAGGAAGCUGUUAGGGAUGAUGAUAUUGACUUCAAUGGUAUUCCAUCGACUGAGUCAUUCUAGGUGUUCAAUGAGAUUAGUAAGUACUGGAAGAAGAGGGUUAUAACUCCUGUUAUCAUUACUCUGGCCAAGGGUGUGGAAGCAGAGUUUGAACCUCAUCCUUGGAUUGUUACUCAUGUUUAAAUGAUCUAACGAGCAUGUAAAAUCAUUUUUCAAGUCUUCUUUAUAUGUUUGCUAGAAUAGAUGAAUAUUUGAUGUCAACCUCCUCAGUAUUUUCAUGACAGAGAGAUUCUGUUUGUUAUUGUUUGAUAUUGUGUAUGGGUUAUUUACCAGAAAUAACAAAUCGCUUGAUUGUGUGUAAUGUUAGUAAGAAUCAUUAGCCGCUACUAUUACCCACUGCAUCCAUGGCUAGCAACAUUUUCUUCCUAAGAAGCAUCAGCCCCAAAAAAUGGAAUUCUUCUUCUGAUGGCUUUCACACAGGGUGAAUGGCAUCAACAAGCAUGGAAACAUCACUAUGCUAGAUAAGUAUGGAGGGGAAAAGCCUUCUUCUGCAGAACAAAAUAAAAAAAAAUGGAACCAUCUUGAUGCGCCUAUCUUUGCCUCACGUUAUUCACUUGGACGUUGGCUUAGCACUGGCGGGAAGUUUUGUUUUAUUACUUGGAUUUUAAGCUAUCGUUUGGCUGCUGAAACAUGAGUUAGAUAGACAUUGUCAUCUUCUUAUAUCAAAUCCAUGAAAAGACUAUCAUGAUUUACUCUGUUAUGGGUAUUGUUAUAGCUUUCAAGAACA